AAGAAACAAUGGACACAGUGGACUCAUUCCUCAAACAAAAGGAACCACAAAGUGUUGUAUCAAAACCUUCAGUGCCACCAAAGCAGUCUGCACUGUAAAAUGUAUAAAAAAAAUUGUCUGAUAACACUGUACAGAAGGUCACUGAGAAAUGUAGCCAAAUGAAAUCUGGGUCCAAACAAGAGCCAAUGUCUAUUAGAAAGACACUCCCAGAGGACUACAGACCUGUGGUUAACACAGCCCUGUUCUUAGAUGACUGGUCACCUGACAGUUUUACUCUAUUGGAAGCAGACAGUUUCUAUGGACCAGAGAUUCUUGUCACUUCUGGCUCUCACUGCUUUGUGGCUCCUGUGCCUUUCUUCUGAUUUUGGACUUCUGAAUAUUCGUUGAGAGUUUGGAUAUUCAGUUUUGGACUUCUGAAUAUUCCUGGAGAGUUUGGACAUUCAGUUUUGGAACACCACCUUAGUGCUAUGCAACCACAGUCUUUCAGUGACAU